GACGAACGCUGGCGGCGUGCUUAACACAUGCAAGUCGAACGGUAUGGCCCUUCGGGGUACACGAGUGGCGAACGGGUGAGUAACACGUGGGUGAUCUGCCCUGCACUUCGGGAUAAGCCUGGGAAACUGGGUCUAAUACCGGAUAGGACCACUGCCUGCAUGGGUGGUGGUGGAGAGCUUUUGCGGUGUGGGAUGGGCCCGCGGCCUAUCAGCUUGUUGGGGGGGUGAUGGCCUACCAAGGCGACGACGGGUAGCCGGCCUGAGAGGGUGACCGGCCACACGGGGACUGAGAUACGGCCCAGACUCCUACGGGAGGCAGCAGUGGGGAAUAUUGCACAAUGGGCGCAAGCCUGAUGCAGCGACGCCGCGUGAGGGAUGACGGCCUUCGGGUUGUAAACCUCUUUCAGCACCGACGAAGCGCAAGUGACGGUAGGUGCAGAAGAAGGACCGGCCAACUACGUGCCAGCCGCCGCCGUAAAAC
rnacentral:rRNA from 1 species